rnacentral:rRNA from 1 species
GACGAACGCUGGCGGCGUGCUUAACACAUGCAAGUCGAACGGUGAAGCGCCUUCCUUUUUGGUGGGUGUGGAUGAGUGGCGAACGGGUGAGUAACACGUGAGUAACCUGCCCCCUUCUUCUGGAUAACCGCAUGAAAGUGUGGCUAAUACGGGAUAUUCUGGGUCUGUCGCAUGAUGGGUCUGGGAAAGAUAUUGUUUCGGUGGGGGAUGGGCUCGCGGCCUAUCAGCUUGUUGGUGGGGUGAUGGCCUACCAAGGCGGUGACGGGUAGCCGGCCUGGGAGGGUGGACGGUCACACUGGGACUGAGACACGGCCCAAACUCCUACGGGAGGCAGCAGUGGGGAAUAUUGCACGAUGGGCGCAAGCCUGAUGCAGCGACGCCGCGUGAGGGAUGGAGGCCUUCGGGUUGUGAACCUCUUUCGCCAGUGAAGCAGGCCUGCCUCGUUUGUGGGUGGGUUGACGGUAGCUGGAUAAGAAGCGCCGGCUAACUACGUG